rnacentral:rRNA from 1 species
GAUGAACGCUGGCGGCGUGCCUAACACAUGCAAGUCGAACGGCAAGACAAUAAGCUUGUGCCCUUACCGGUAGCGGCUGGCGGGCGGGUAACGAGUGGAUCGUCAUCUUCUUUUUCGGGGAUGAUAACGUAAAACAACUUACACUACUACAGCAUAUGUCGUACCGGUGAGAGCAAUGGAUCUUUUGAGCUUUCGCGGUUCACUUAGCCGCGGCCGCAUUAGCUAGUUGGGUUGGUAAAGUCCCACCAAGGCAACGAUACGUAGCCGAUCUGAGAGGCUGAUAGGCCACACUGGAACUGAGACACGGUCCAGACUCCUACGGGAGGCAGCAGUGGGGAAUCUUGGGCAAUGGGCGGAAGCAUGACGCAGCCAUGCCGCGUGAGUGACGAAGGUCUUCGGGUCGUAAAGCCCUUUUGUUGGGGAAGAACAGCUGUGUGAUGAGACAUAGCCGUUGUGACGGUACCUAAUGAAUAAGCACCGGCUAACUACGUG